rnacentral:rRNA from 1 species
CAGGCCUAACACAUGCAAGUCGAACGAUGCUUUCGGGCAUAGUGGCGCACGGGUGCGUAACGCGUGGGAAUCUGCCCCUUGGUCUGGGAUAACAGUUGGAAACGACUGCUAAUACCGGAUGAUAUCGCGAGAUCAAAGAUUUAUCGCCAGGGGAUGAGCCCGCGUCCGAUUAGCUAGUUGGUAAGGUAAAGGCUUACCAAGGCGACGAUCGGUAGCUGGUCUGAGAGGAUGAUCAGCCACACUGGGACUGAGACACGGCCCAGACUCCUACGGGAGGCAGCAGUGGGGAAUAUUGGACAAUGGGCGAAAGCCUGAUCCAGCAAUGCCGCGUGAGUGAUGAAGGCCUUAGGGUUGUAAAGCUCUUUUACCCGGGAUGAUAAUGACAGUACCGGGAGAAUAAGCUCCGGCUAACUCCGUGCCAGCAGCCGCGGUAAU